rnacentral:rRNA from 1 species
UACGUAGGGUGCGAGCGUUGUCCGGAAUUAUUGGGCGUAAAGGGCGCGUAGGCGGCCGAGCAAGGUCGCGGUGAAAGCCCGGGGCUCAACCCCGGGUCGGCCGUGGCAACUACUUGGCUGGAGCACUGUAGGGGCGGGUGGAAUUCCGGGUGUAGCGGUGGAAUGCGUAGAGAUCCGGAAGAACACCGGUGGCGAAGGCGGCCUGCUGGGUUCUGGCUGACACUGAGGCGCGACAGCGUGGGGAGCAAACAGG